UUCCCUCUCUUCUCUAUCUCGUUUUCUACUCCCUCUCUCCUGUUUGCAGAGAGUUUUUCUUCCGAGAACCAAAACCCUUCUCUCAGAAUCAAACCCUUCUCUCAGACUCAAAUCCAAAUCUCUUUCCUAACCAAAUUAAAACUUGUGUAAUCAAAACCUAUAAAUCUAGAUCUAUUCUCUAAAAUCUUAAAAAAUUCCUAACCUAGAAUCCAAAAUCAAUUUUGUUCCUGAAAUCCAAAAUCAAUUCAUCUGGUAGUUGAUUAUCAUCAGAAAUAUGCUACAUCUUAUGAAAAGGCUGUGAUUGAUGCUAUUUCUAGAUGGGUUGUUAAAGACGGGGAUGACCAUUUGGCAUACGAUUUGCAGUCAAAUGUGCAAUAUUUAAUAUGUGCUUCCUUGGUGAAAUUGAAUUGUGGGCUUAUUUCAAUUUUGGGUUUACCCCCUUUGAUCAUGUAAGCUAUUUGAAACAAUUUCCAAAAGGCUUGGCAUCUUUGAAAAGGGGGCAAAUUCUAUGCUUUUACAUGGAUCGACGGAUUCGUCUUUGAGUCUUGUUGAGCAGGUUUUACCACAAAUUCAGCAAGAGGACAACAUACAUGUAUGGAAUACUUUCUUUUCCUUUAUUAGGACUUGGCAGAAUGGCAGAUGCUAAGAAAGCUGCAAGGAAGGAAUUGGAAAUCAAUAUGUAUGACCUCUGGUCACAACAUGGUUUAUGCCACCGUCUUCAAUAUGGAUGUCACGUCAAGGAGGCAACAGAGUUCAUGGAGAAGUGUUCAUCUUCGUGGGGAUCUUGUUCAUCAUUUAUAAUCAUCACAAUCUUCCUAGUAAGAAUUUUUCAUUUUCUUUCGUUGACGUUGUAUACAUCAUAAAUAGCUUAAUCUUGUGUUCAGUUCACGCACCGUUGGUAGCAUGUUGCCUUUGUUAUUUGGAGGGCGAUUCUCUAAUCUCCAAAGUCUUGGAAGUUUAUGACCACCAUAUCUGGAACGAGUCGCAAAGAAAUGACGCUUCACGCAUAGAGGAAGAAGAAACAAACCCUGCAGAAAGGAAUCCUGGUUGGUGUCGUUCUCUUAGCCUCCUAGGUUGAACAAUCCUUUUACACUAGUUCCUUGCUUUCCGAAGAGCUUAUUUGAACAAUCCUUGGAAGUUUAUGACCACCAUAUCUGGAACGAGUCGCAAAGAAAUGACGCUUCAUGCAUAAAGUUCCUCAGUUCCUCAAUUUUAUAAAAUGCAUUCCGUACAUGAAUGUCACAACCGAAAAGCUUUCUCAGGAUACGCAGAGCACUUCUGAGAUACCAUCCUCAGCCCAAGUUUCAAGGAAUUCAUGGGUGACCUGCCGAAUAACACAUCCAGUAAUGCUCCUUUAGCGGAUUCAAUAUCUAAAUCUGGAUCCAGCAAUGAUAGCAGGAAAGUCUCCCGUGAAGAUAUUGAACUUAGUUUAAUAGAAAGAUGCCUACAGUUUUAUAUGAAUAUGGAUGAGGUGGUACUGACUUUGUUGAAUCGAGUGCGAAUCGAGCCUCAAUUUACAUCAUUGGGAGUCGUAGUCCAUAUAGAAGCAGGAGUCUUGUAUAUCGACGUCGUAGGAGCUUGAACAGGGAUUAUGAGAUUCAAACUAAUGGCGUGGGUUCUAAAACAAAUCGUGAUGAUUAUCCAUCUCAAAGGAUUCGUGGGAGAAGGUCACCAGUUCGGCAUACCCCUGAGAGGGAGGAGGUCAAAUUUUUUGAUCAGGAGCAUAAGGCAUUGGAUCCUGUGUGACAUAGACCACAAGAUUCUUUGAGGUCACCACAGCAGGAACCAAAAAGCAAAGUGCUGGCAUCACAAGGUACCUGUUUUACAACCACCACCAAUGUCAGUGGCAGGUCAGUCACAUCUUCAGGCCAUGAAUUCUGGUCUUUCUAGAUGUCAAGUGGUAAAUGGAGUCUUUGCAACAAGAAAUCUUCACCCUAUUCGAGUAAACUCGGGCAAUGAGUAAGAACUUAGUCACUUAUUCUCUCAUGUCUUAUCUGUUCCGUGUACUGUUUCUUAACUUCGGUUCUAGCUUUCGUAUUUGUAAAGUAAGAUUCAGUUGUGAAGCAGUCCUGCUAAAACUUGUGGUUGAGUGGAUACCAUAACUUGUAAUCCAUAGCUAAUUUCGCUAUCAGGCAAGAUAAUUAUAUUAAUGCAAAUCGUAUACCCAUGCUUUUCCAUGUUGAUUCUA